rnacentral:lncRNA from 1 species
AUUUUUCCAUCUUUCUCAGCAGCCAAAGUUCUGUAAAGUGUCCACGAAACAGCAGCAGAAAAUGAGGAGACAAAGAGGCAAAGGGCUCCACAAAUCCUCUGUGGACCGCUGCGUAAGCUCGGACCGCGCAUCGGGAAAAUGUGGCGUUUAAUUGGAAGCAUGCACACACUGAAUGCUUUUGCCAGCUGGGAAACUGAAACUUUGCAAGUCCUUCCAGUCACUGAAUCCUGGAACCUCUGAUGCUACUGAAAUUGCCAGUGGGGCACAUUUCCACCUUGUGGGGGCAAGAAUCUACUAGUUUCCUGGGGAGGAAAAAACUGAGAUAUGUGGAGAUUAAGUAACUUGCCCGAAGGCAUUCAAUCAAGCAGGUGAUCGCCGCAGCUGGACAAAUGGCAAAGCAGGGAUGAAGCACAGUGGCCUCCCCUCUGCUCUUCACCCAAAGGGCAGAGAACCAAGGCGAGAUGUUAAAACCUGUGAGCGUAUCC